UGUCCAGUAACUCCUAUCCCUACCCCCCGUGGUGCCACCUGGGGUACGAGUAACCGUAGGGAAGAUCGGGUAACCAACCUGACUAAUGCUGACAGGGAAGG
rnacentral:ribozyme from 1 species